UCAGCUUCUUCGGGGCAAAGUGACUUCUGAACACAAUCCCUGGAGACAGUGUGGCGAAAGGACAGACAUUGACUUUGGAGAAGGCUCUGAUUGGAGAUUUCAUUAAACUGGGGAAGUUCUCAGGAGGUUGAACCUUGUGAGAAUGACAGAGGUGUAGAGUCUGUCAGAG